GCAAGUCGAGGGGCAGCAUAGUCUUCGGACUGAUGGCGACCGGCGCACGGGUGUGUAACUCGUAUGCAACCUACCCACUCCAGGGGGAUAGCUUUCGGAAACGGAAAUUAAUACCCCAUAACACAUAAGUAUCGCAUGGUACUAAUGUUAAAGAUUUAUCGGUAGUGGAUGGGCAUGCGUAAGAUUAGAUUGUUGGUGAGGUAACGGCUCACCAAGUCUACGAUCUUUAGGGGUUCUGAGAGGAUGAUC
rnacentral:rRNA from 1 species